rnacentral:rRNA from 1 species
UACGUAGGGUGCAAGCGUUGUCCGGAAUUAUUGGGCGUAAAGAGCUCGUAGGCGGUCUGUCGCGUCUGUCGUGAAAGCCCACGGCUUAACCGUGGGUCUGCGGUGGAUACGGGCAGACUAGAGGCAGGUAGGGGAGAAUGGAAUUCCCGGUGUAGCGGUGAAAUGCGCAGAUAUCGGGAGGAACACCGGUGGCGAAGGCGGUUCUCUGGGCCUGUACUGACGCUGAGGAGCGAAAGCGUGGGGAGCGAACAGG